UGGGGCGUCGCCAAGCGGUAAGGCACCGGGUUCUGGUCCCGGCAUCCGGGGGUUCGAAUCCUCCCGCCCCAGCCA
rnacentral:tRNA from 1 species